GCGGAUGUAGUUCAAUGGUAGAAUUCCAGCUUCCCAAGCUGGCUACGCGGGUUCGAUUCCCGUCAUCCGCUCCA
rnacentral:tRNA from 1 species